GGGUAAGCAGAGGUUUUACAUUUUGUUUUUGAAGGAUGAGAUCCUCUUGCUUUCCCAAA
rnacentral:pre_miRNA from 1 species